UACGUAGGGUGCAAGCGUUAAUCGGAAUUACUGGGCGUAAAGGGCGCGUAGGCGGGAUGGCAAGUCGGUCGUGAAAUCCCUCGGCUCAACCGAGGAACGUCGAUCGAUACUGCUGUUCUUGAGGAUUGCAGAGGAGACUGGAAUUCCCGGUGUAGCGGUGAAAUGUGUAGAGAUCGGAAAGAACACCAACGGCGAAAGCACUCUGCUGGGCCGACACUGACACUGAGAGACGAAAGCUAGGGGAGCGAAUGGG
rnacentral:rRNA from 1 species